GACGUAGGGCGCGAGCGUUGUCCGGAUUUAUUGGGCGUAAAGAGCUCGUAGGCGGUUUCGUAAGUCGGGUGUGAAAACCCCAGGCUCAACCUGGAGACGCCACCCGAGACUGCGAUGACUAGAGUCCGGUAGGGGAGCGUGGAAUUCCUGGUGUAGCGGUGAAAUGCGCAGAUAUCAGGAGGAACACCAACGGCGAAGGCAGCGCUCUGGGCCGGAACUGACGCUGAGGAGCGAAAGCGUGGGGAUCAAACAGG
rnacentral:rRNA from 1 species